AAACAAUGUUAGUAAAAACUUGGAUGCAAGAUUGACCUUAUGCAAUCUCUAAGGUACAUUGAAUUGAAUGAGGGAGAGAGUUCUAAACUGCUUGUUCUCAGUCUACUCCACCUCCUGAAUAUAUCUGUCCAUCUAAGAAAAGGAUUAAAUUCAAGAUAACCCUUGUCAUCUGCAUGCUGCCACAUGGUUAGGAUGAAGACUGACACACGAGACAAGUGAUGUGUCUUAUGUGAAAUUGAAAAUAUUUUUAAAAAGACAAUUGCAAUGUUAGUGUAUUGUGGAUGAUACUCUACAAGAAAAGCCUGAGCAAUGUUGGAGUGUCACAGCCACAGAGGGGCACAUCAACCUGAUACAAGAGAAAUGGAGCGAGGAGAGGUUAAAUCACAGAAUUUGGAAAGAAAAAGGGCAUCCAACAGCCUUAAAGAUGAAGAAAUGGAAGCUCCAGAGUUGAAGAAAUGUGUCUUCACUCCCACAAGUAAUCUUGAAGUUCCGAGCCACCAUGAGAGUUUUCCUGACACUGAGGUAAUUUCCUACCAUGUUGACACCACCUUGCGCCAGUGUUCAAGACCAUCACAGCUAUGAACCUUGUUGGCUUGUAUCAGAUGCCUGCUGGGACCUUGGCUGCCCAUAGUGCUCUCUAAAGACUCCAGCUUUCCAUAACUCCUACAGUUUUAAGUUCAAGGAAUGAUGAAGAGGACGCCAAUGUACGGAUUUGAUUUACCAAAUCAGGCCUGUACAGCAGCUGAAUCAACCUAUGGGAAAAUUUUGGCUCUCUUUAACAUUCUAAUUUUUGAGAACACCAUUGCAAAUACAUGAUUUCCAAAAUAAUAACAAUGCACUUAAUUAAUCACAUUAUAGAUCAUCAUAUAAAAAUAAAUACCUAAAUAGAAAUACAAUUUAUUUUUUUCUUAAAUUCCAAAUUGCAUAGAGCUGCCUCCUCUGCAGUUUUCCAUCACUGCCUCCUUCUCAGACUUCUCCUUUUGUUUUUUCAUUUCUUUGUACAGACUCCAGUCAUUUGUUUAAAUAUUCAUACUCAACCAGAAUACGUUUCCUAAUGUGGGAAUCAUUGCUUAUUCACAGGCACAGCCCUUGACAUCCUGAAAACAUGUAGUAAUGAUUUUUGGAAUAAAGGUUUGACACUUCUACAUUUACAUGUAAAUGGAGUUAAAAAAUUCUAGGUUGAGAAUAAGAAUACUAUAAAAAUUUUGAUCUAAAAUGGAUGUUAGAGAUAACCCAGCGCAACCAGUUGCUCUUACAAUUGAGGAAACUGAGGUCAAGAAUGAGUGAGUGGCUCAGAGUCACCCAGCUCAUUAGAGCCUGAAUGAACCACCUUGGUUCACUACCUCUGUUCACCGCCCUUUCUAGUGCACUUCAUGAAAUCACUCUCUAAGUACACAUCAACUCAUUUAGAUACUUAAAUGAUUCUUGAGAAAGUAGAAAGUAUAAAUGCCUUGACCACACAUAAGAACUUUGACAUAUUUCACUCUCUGUACUGAAAUUUCUAACAAUGCCUGGUACAUAAUAGGUAUUCAGUUGAUUUGGGUUUCUACAUCCCUUUUCUCCUUCUCUUCUUCAAGUUUGCAUGUAAACCACAUUAAAGACUGCUAAUAUAUAAAGUAGGCACCAUCUCAUGAAUCAAAGAGGGGAUUCCUAGAGCCACUGAGGAUGUCUUUAGAAGCCAGUGGUGCUGAUCCCACAGCUACUCUCCUGUGGACAGUGGAAGUGCUCCCCAAAGUACAUUCUUAGGGGAAAUGGGGCUGCCGCCAUGAGGAGGUGUCAAUAGAGAUUAGAGAUGGUCUUUGUGCUGUGAGAGAGACCUCACAUUUCCAAAUGCCAAGUCCUUUCUUCCUCAGUCAAAUGUACCCCCUAGAACAUAGAUACCUACUAAGCUGUAGAUUUUUGAGGGGAUACAGAGCUGAAUCCAUAAGAUAGUGGAUUAUUCAGAUAAGAAUUUCUGUAGAUAGAGAGUUUCCAAUCAAUUAUGUACCCCAACAAUGUGAGGUCAACUACUUAGACUACCUCUUAGCUUCUACAUUUAGAUGUUUCAAAGUCUGUUCUGAUCCUUAAAUUUGACACUUCUCUUUAAUAUAAACAAAGCCCUUUUAGUAUUCUUUGGGAUUAGCUUACCACUUAAUAAAUUCCUUCCAACACUAUCUUCUGUGAGUCAACAAACAGCUUCCUCCUG
rnacentral:lncRNA from 1 species